rnacentral:rRNA from 1 species
GACGAACGCUGGCGGCGUGCCUAAUACAUGCAAGUUGAGCGAUGAAGAUUGGUGCUUGCACCAAUUUGAAGAGCAGCGAACGGGUGAGUAACGCGUGGGGAAUCUGCCUUUGAGCGGGGGACAACAUUUGGAAACGAAUGCUAAUACCGCAUAACAACUUUAAACAUAAGUUUUAAGUUUGAAAGAUGCAAUUGCAUCACUCAAAGAUGAUCCCGCGUUGUAUUAGCUAGUUGGUGAGGUAAAGGCUCACCAAGGCGAUGAUACAUAGCCGACCUGAGAGGGUGAUCGGCCACAUUGGGACUGAGACACGGCCCAAACUCCUACGGGAGGCAGCAGUAGGGAAUCUUCGGCAAUGGACGAAAGUCUGACCGAGCAACGCCACGUGAGUGAAGAAGGUUUUCGGAUCGUAAAACUCUGUUGGUAGAGAAGAACGUUGGUGAGAGUGGAAAGCUCAUCAAGUGACGGUAACUACCCAGAAAGGGACGGCUAACUACGUG